GACGAACGCUGGCGUUCGUGCUUAACACAUGCAAGUCGAACGGAAAGGCCCUGCUUUUGUGGGGUGCUCGAGUGGCGAACGGGUGAGUAACACGUGAGUAACCUGCCCUUGACUUUGGGAUAACUUCAGGAAACUGGGGCUAAUACCGGAUAGGAGCUCCUGCUGCAUGGUGGGGGUUGGAAAGUUUCGGCGGUUGGGGAUGGACUCGCGGCUUAUCAGCUUGUUGGUGGGGUAGUGGCUUACCAAGGCUUUGACGGGUAGCCGGCCUGAGAGGGUGACCGGCCACAUUGGGACUGAGAUACGGCCCAGACUCCUACGGGAGGCAGCAGUGGGGAAUAUUGCACAAUGGGCGGAAGCCUGAUGCAGCAACGCCGCGUGCGGGAUGACGGCCUUCGGGUUGUAAACCGCUUUCGCCUGUGACGAAGCGUGAGUGACGGUAAUGGGUAAAGAAGCACCGGCUAACUACGUGCCAGCAGCCGCGGUGAUACGUAGGGUGCGAGCGUUGUCCGGAUUUAUUGGGCGUAAAGGGCUCGUAGGUGGUUGAUCGCGUCGGAAGUGUAAUCUUGGGGCUUAACCCUGAGCGUGCUUUCGAUACGGGUUGACUUGAGGAAGGUAGGGGAGAAUGGAAUUCCUGGUGGAGCGGUGGAAUGCGCAGAUAUCAGGAGGAACACCAGUGGCGAAGGCGGUUCUCUGGGCCUUUCCUGACGCUGAGGAGCGAAAGCGUGGGGAGCGAACAGGCUUAGAUACCCUGGUAGUCCACGCUGUAAACGGUGGGUACUAGGUGUGGGGUCCAUUCCACGGGUUCCGUGCCGUAGCUAACGCUUUAAGUACCCCGCCUGGGGAGUACGGCCGCAAGGCUAAAACUCAAAGGAAUUGACGGGGCCCCGCACAAGCGGCGGAGCAUGCGGAUUAAUUCGAUGCAACGCGUAGAACCUUACCUGGGGUUGACAUGGAUCGGGAGUGCUCAGAGAUGGGUGUGCCUCUUUUGGGGUCGGUUCACAGGUGGUGCAUGGCUGUCGUCAGCUCGUGUCGUGAGAUGUUGGGUUAAGUCCCGCAACGAGCGCAACCCUUGUUCACUGUUGCCAGCACGUUAUGGUGGGGACUCAGUGGAGACCGCCGGGGUCAACUCGGAGGAAGGUGGGGAUGACGUCAAGUCAUCAUGCCCCUUAUGUCCAGGGCUUCACGCAUGCUACAAUGGCUGGUACAGAGAGUGGCGAGCCUGUGAGGGUGAGCGAAUCUCGGAAAGCCGGUCUCAGUUCGGAUUGGGGUCUGCAACUCGACCUCAUGAAGUCGGAGUCGCUAGUAAUCGCAGAUCAGCAACGCUGCGGUGAAUACGUUCCCGGGGC
rnacentral:rRNA from 1 species